rnacentral:rRNA from 1 species
GAUGAACGCUGGCGGCGUGCUUAACACAUGCAAGUCGAACGGUGAAGCAGGAGCUUGCUCUUGUGGAUCAGUGGCGAACGGGUGAGCAACACGUGAGCAACCUGCCCCUGACUCUGGGAUAAGCGCUGGAAACGGCGUCUAAGACUGGAUAUGUGAUGUGACCGCAUGGUCUGCAUCUGGAAAGAAUUUCGGUUGGGGAUGGGCUCGCGGGCUAUCAGCUUGUUGGUGAGGUAAUGGCUCACCAAGGCGUCGACGGUGAGCCGGCCUGAGAGGGUGACCGGCCACACUGGGGCUGAGACACGGCCCAGACUCCUACGGGAGGCAGCAGUGGGGAAUAUUGCACAAUGGGCGGAAGCCUGAUGCAGCAACGCCGCGUGAGGGAUGACGGCCUUCGGGUUGUAAACCUCUUUUAGCAGGGAAGAAGCGAAAGUGACGGUACCUGCAGAAAAAGCACCGGCUAACUACGUGCCAGCCGCCGCGGUAA